GGAUGGGUGGCAGAGUGGUUGAUUGCACCGGUCUUGAAAACCGGAAAGCGUGCAAGCGCUUCGGGGGUUCGAAUCCCUCCCCAUCCGCCA
rnacentral:tRNA from 1 species